rnacentral:rRNA from 1 species
UGGGGAAUUUUGCACAAUGGAGGAAACUCUGAUGCAGCGACGCCGCGUGAGUGAUGAAGAUCUUCGGAUUGUAAAACUCUGUCCUUAGUGAAGAUAAUAACAGUAACUAAGAAGCAAGCCCUGGCUAAAUACGUGCCAGCAGCCGCGGUAAUACGUAUGGGGCAAGCGUUGUCCGGAAUUAUUGGGCGUAAAGGGUACGUAGGCGGUUUAAUAAGUCCUAAUUAAAAGGCUAUGGCUCAACCAUAGUAUGGUUAGGAAACUGUUGAACUUGAGUAGAUGGGGGGAAAGUGGAAUUCCAUGUGUAGCGGUGAAAUGCGUAGAUAUAUGGAGGAACACCAAUGGCGAAGGCAACUUUCUGGAAUCAAACUGACGCUGAGGUACGAAGGCGUGGGGAGCAAACAGG